rnacentral:rRNA from 1 species
UGUUCCCUGAUGUUAGCGGCGGACGGGUGAGUAACACGUGGGUAACCUGCCUGUAAGACUGGGAUAACUCCGGGAAACCGGGGCUAAUACCGGAUGGUUGUUUGAACCGCAUGGUUCAGACAUAAAAGGUGGCUUCGGCUACCACUUACAGAUGGACCCGCGGCGCAUUAGCUAGUUGGUGAGGUAACGGCUCACCAAGGCGACGAUGCGUAGCCGACCUGAGAGGGUGAUCGGCCACACUGGGACUGAGACACGGCCCAGACUCCUACGGGAGGCAGCAGUAGGGAAUCUUCCGCAAUGGACGAAAGUCUGACGGAGCAACGCCGCGUGAGUGAUGAAGGUUUUCGGAUCGUAAAGCUCUGUUGUUAGGGAAGAACAAGUGCCGUUCAAAUAGGGCGGCACCUUGACGGUACCUAACCAGAAAGCCACGGCUAACUACGUGCCAGCAGCCGCGGUAAUACGUAGGUGGCAAGCGUUGUCCGGAAUUAUUGGGCGUAAAGGGCUCCCA